rnacentral:ribozyme from 1 species
AGAAAAAGAAAAAAAAAGAGAAAAGAAAAGAGAAGAGAAAGGUUGGUGUUGUGUUGGUCUAGUUGUAUGUGUGUUGCUUUUUGUCC